rnacentral:rRNA from 1 species
AUUGAACGCUGGCGGCAUGCCUUACACAUGCAAGUCGAACGGCAGCACGGGAGCUUGCUCCUGGUGGCGAGUGGCGAACGGGUGAGUAAUACAUCGGAACGUACCCUGAAGUGGGGGAUAACGUAGCGAAAGUUACGCUAAUACCGCAUAUUCUGUGAGCAGGAAAGGAGGGGGAUCGCAAGACCUCUUGCUUUAGGAGCGGCCGAUGUCGGAUUAGCUAGUUGGUGAGGUAAAGGCUCACCAAGGCGACGAUCCGUAGCGGGUCUGAGACGGAUGAUCCGCCACACUGGGACUGAGACACGGCCCAGACUCCUACGGGAGGCAGCAGUGGGGAAUUUUGGAC